rnacentral:rRNA from 1 species
GCCAGACUCCUACGGGAGGCAGCAGUGGGGAAUAUUGGGCAAUGGGCGCAAGCCUGACCCAGCAACGCCGCGUGAAGGAAGAAGGCUUUCGGGUUGUAAACUUCUUUUCUCAGGGACGAAGCAAGUGACGGUACCUGAGGAAUAAGCCACGGCUAACUACGUGCCAGCAGCCGCGGUAAUACGUAGGUGGCAAGCGUUAUCCGGAUUUACUGGGUGUAAAGGGAGCGCAGGCGGCCUUGCAAGUCUGAUGUGAAAGGCCGGGGCCCAACCCCGGGACUGCUCUUGGAACUGCGUGGCUGGAGUGCAGGAGGGGCAGGCGGAAUUCCUGGUGUAGCGGUGAAAUGCGUAGAUAUCAGGAGGAACACCGGUGGCGAAGGCGGCCUGCUGGACUGCGACUGACGUUGAGGCCCGAAAGCGUGGGGAGCAAACAGGAUUAGAUACCCCCGUAGU